rnacentral:rRNA from 1 species
AAUGAACGUUGGCGGCGUGGAUUAGGCAUGCGAGUCGAGCGAGAACCGUAGCAAUACGGGGACAGCGGCGAAAGGGACAGUAACGGGUAGAUUAUCUGCCCUCAGGUUUGGGAUAGCUGCGGGAAACUGCAAGUAAUACCAAAUAAUAUCUCCGGAUCAAAGGUGUGAUUCCGCCUGAGGAUGAGUCUGCCUCCUAUUAGCUAGUUGGUGGGGUAACGGCCUACCAAGGCGUUGAUGGGUAGCGGGUGUGAGAGCACGACCCGCGUCAUUGGGACUGAGACACUGCCCAGACACCUACGGGUGGCUGCAGUCGAGAAUCUUCGGCAAUGGACGCAAGUCUGACCGAGCGACGCCGCGUGAGGGAUGAAGGCCUUCGGGUUGUAAGCCACUGUCAGAGGGGAUGAAAUGCAGGUGGGUUCUCCCAUCUGUUUGACAUAGCCUCAGAGGAAGUACGGGCUAAGUUCGUGCCAGCAGCCGCGGUAA